rnacentral:rRNA from 1 species
CCCCUUCGGGGGCAGAGUGACAGGUGUNGCAUGGUUGUCGUCAGCUCGUGUCGUGAGAUGUUGGGUUAAGUCCCGCAACGAGCGCAACCCUUGAUCUUAGUUGCCAGCAUUCAGUUGGGCACUCUAAGGUGACUGCCGGUGACAAACCGGAGGAAGGUGGGGAUGACGUCAAAUCAUCAUGCCCCUUAUGACCUGGGCUACACACGUGCUACAAUGGGCAGAACAAAGGGCAGCGAAGCCGCGAGGCUAAGCCAAUCCCACAAAUCUGUUCUCAGUUCGGAUCGCAGUCUGCAACUCGACUGCGUGAAGCUGGAAUCGCUAGUAAUCGCGGAUCAGCAUGCCGCGGUGAAUACGUUCCCGGGCCUUGUACACACCGCCCGUCACACCACGAGAGUUUGUAACACCCGAAGUCGGUGAGGUAACCUUUUGGAGCCA